CAACCCUCAGGCCCCCGGGCCUGGCGUUGGGGAUCGGCGGAAGCCCCCUGUGGGCACACGCCGUCCCUCAAAUACAGUGGCGGUCCCGCCGCAGCUUCCAUUGCGUAGUAGCUAACACCUCGCAACUGGAGAGCGGCGCGGCCAUGCCGUAAAACACCCAACUUCUGAA
rnacentral:misc_RNA from 2 species